CGUGUAGGCGGUCAGGUAAGUGGGAUGUGAAAUCCCUCGGCUCACCCGAGGAUCUGCAUUCCAAACUGCUUGGCUCGAGUAUGGGAGAGGAUGAGGGAAUUCCUGGUGUAGCGGUGAAAUGCGUAGAUAUCAGGAGGAACACCGGUGGCGAAAGCGCUCAUCUGGCCCAAUACUGACGCUGAUGCGCGAAAGCUAAGGGAGCAAACG
rnacentral:rRNA from 1 species